rnacentral:rRNA from 1 species
AUUGAACGCUGGCGGCAUGCUUUACACAUGCAAGUCGAACGGUAACAGGCCGCAAGGUGCUGACGAGUGGCGAACGGGUGAGUAAUGCAUCGGAACGUGCCCAGUCGUGGGGGAUAACGCAGCGAAAGCUGCGCUAAUACCGCAUACGAUCUGUGGAUGAAAGCGGGGGACCGUAAGGCCUCGCGCGAUUGGAGCGGCCGAUGUCAGAUUAGGUAGUUGGUGGGGUAAAGGCUCACCAAGCCAACGAUCUGUAGCUGGUCUGAGAGGACGACCAGCCACACGGGGACUGAGACACGGCCCAGAAUCCUACGGGAGGCAGCAGUGGGGAAUUCUGGACAAUGGGCGCAAGCCUGAUCCAGCAAUGCCGCGUGCAGGAAGAAGGCCUUCGGGUUGUAAACUGCUUUUGUACGGAACGAAACGGUCCUGGUUAAUACCCGGGGCUAAUGACGGUACCGUAAGAAUAAGCACCGGCUAACUACGUGCCAGCAGCCGCCGUAAAAC